GUGAAUCAUCAAAUUUUUGAACGCAAAUUGCACUCUCCUCGGAGAGUAUGCCUGUUUGAGGGUCAGCCUAAAAAAAAUCGACAUCUUUGCGGUUUCGCGGUGACGUCCGUCGGAAAUUGGGCCAUCUUAAACCUUUGGGUUUAAGCGACUUAAAAUUUUUUUUUUGAUUCCUUGAACGUUCCUAAGAUUUAUUUUUUUACACGUUUAAGUUUU
rnacentral:misc_RNA from 1 species